rnacentral:tRNA from 1 species
GCAGGCGUGGCCAAGCGGCUAAGGCGUUCGGCUGCAACCCGGAUAUUCGCAGGUUCGAGUCCUGCCGCCUGCU